AAAAAUCACAACUCUGCUAGACACUAGAAAUCAUGGACUCAAUAAAUACACUAGAUUUAUGGUUCAUUACAACAAUCUUUAACCCACUAACCCUCCUUUAUCCUAUGACUACCGAGGAGUUAACU